UAUCUGGGGGAUAACAGUUGGAAACGACUGAUAAUACCGCAUAACAUCAUUUGAAGGCAUCUUCUUAUGAUCAAAGAUUUAUCGGAUAUGGAUGAGCUCGCGUCUGAUUAGCUUGUUGGUGAGGUAACGGCUCACCAAGGCGACGAUCAGUAGCCGACCUGAGAGGGUGAUCGGCCACAUUGGAACUGAGACACGGUCCAAACUCCUACGGGAGGCAGCAGUGGGGAAUAUUGGGCAAUGGAGGAAACUCUGACCCAGCAACGCCGCGUGAAUGAUGAAGGUCUUCGGAUUGUAAAGUUCUUUUCUAAGGGAAGAAGAAAGUGACGGUACCUUAUGAAUAAGCCUCGGCUAACUACGUGCCAGCAGCCGCGGUAAUACGUAGGAGGCAAGCGUUAUCCGGAAUGACUGGGCGUAAAGGGUGCGUAGGUGGUUUGACAAGUUGGUAGCGUAACUCCGAGGCUCAACCUCGGCGCUACUACCAAAACUGUUGGACUUGAGU
rnacentral:rRNA from 1 species